rnacentral:rRNA from 1 species
CCUACGGGAGGCAGCAGUGGGGAAUAUUGCACAAUGGGGGAAACCCUGAUGCAGCGACGCCGCGUGAGUGAAGAAGUCAUUCUUUAUGUAAAGCUCUAUCAGCAGGGAAGAAAAUGACGGUACCUGCGUCAGACUCCCCGGCUAACUCCGUGCCAGCCGCCGCGGUCAUGCGUAGGGGGCAAGCGUUAUCCGGAUUUACUGGGUGUAAAGGGAGCGUAGACGGCAGUGCAAGUCUGGAGUGAAAGGCGGGGGCUCAACCCCCGGACUGCUCUGGAAACUGUACGGCUGGAGUGCAGGAGGGGUAAGUGGAAUGCAUAGUGUAGCGGUGAAAUGCGUAGAGAUUAGGAGGAACACCAGUGGCGAAGGCGGCUUACUGGACUGUAACUGACGUUGAGGCUCGAAAGCGUGGGGAGCAAACAGGAUUAGAUACCCGAGUAGUC